rnacentral:lncRNA from 1 species
AGCCCUUGGGUCUCCCCUCUCUAGAACCUGGCAUGAAAGUUCACAUGUAGGACAUGUCCAUUAGUACAGUACAUAUAUUGGUAUGAGAAAGGAGAAGAGAAAUGAAGCAUACCGAAGUCAGCUAACAACAAUAAUACUGUGUUAUUCCAUCCAUUCCAUCAGGUAAAAUUUUCUUUUAAAGGAGGCGACACCUUCAGUAUCAUGCUAGGUACGUCCUUUCUCCCCAUCUUUCCUCUCACUAAAAUUUAGAAAUGGAAUCUACAUCCUUUCUUACUAGCCUUUCCCAAAGCAGGUUUGGAAAAGUUUUUGGCUUGGGAAUAACAGUAACAGUAGCAGCAACAAAAACAGCAGGAGCAGCAGCUAAGAUGCAGUGCAUGCUUUUAACAUGGUAAGACUACACAGGGGUUUAAAAAAAAAAAGAAAAAAGAAAAAGAGGACCAGGAAUA